ACAUGUGAUUUCUUGAUUAAUCUGGAAAAGUGCAAGUUCACAUUCUGGUUGGCUGUUCAGUGUAAUCAAAUGCCACCCACAUCAGAGGUGCUCAGGGAGAGACAGCAAUAUGGAACAUAGUGGACAACAUGCUAGCACACAGACAGAAACAUUUUGGUUGACAGUUGAUUCAAGGUUAUACUGUGGUAUGUUGAGGUGACUUCUGCUCCAAAAUUACCAGUACAAAACACAUAAUCAGGAAGAAAUUAAGCAGUGGAAGCCUGAUAUUAAAAACAUAUUAACAUUUGUGUAGAGUGUGUUAUGUAAAUGGAAAAUAUUUAUAUCUUAUGUAGUAUCUAGACAGUAAAACUUGAUCUCAAAUAGAAGAAAUUUCAAGAAUAUAGUAUGGCUUACACCAAAAUUAUUGACAUAGAUAUAUAUUAAGAGUUUUAGCUGAGUGAUUCAAACUUUAUUACCUGCAUCAUAUAGUCAAGUGCAC
rnacentral:lncRNA from 1 species